UUCUGCUCUGGCUCGGUAAAUAGCAACAUCCACCAGCCUCUGCUCAAGGUCACAGUUCUCCUUCAGCAUGAGAUGGACUCAGCUGAUUAUCCAUGGAAGUAAUUUUCUCCGCAAAAAUAUGGUCAUAAACAAAAUACCUAAGCACACAAAUAAAAAGGUGAAUAAAAAGCUUUAGCCUGCUAAAGUUUUACUAUCACAGACAAAA